GUUACAUUCGUGCAAAGAAUUACGUUAAAAUCAAUGUUUUCAAAAAAGACAUACAAAAGUGUAGCUAGGGUUCCUGUGUCUGUAGUAUAUUUAUUUACUUGUAUUUCACGUUUUAAUGCCACAAUUCCCUAAAAAGAUCGGUGACCCCCGUUUUUUAACUGAUAAUUUAUUUCUUUAAUGCAUUUUACAUUUCAUAUCCGAAAUUAAAAGAAAAAUCAUUUCUGGAUCUUGAAAAAAAAUCCUUUAAGAAAGAUAUGUAAAGAAAUGUGCAAAAGACAUUUGUGGAUCAGAACUGGUGUCGACCCCGACUUUUUUGUGUGAGUUUACUUUAAGUAUAUCAUAAACUCCAUGCCUGAGAAGUUUCAGCACAUUCUCAUUUCGGGAACAAUUACUGCGGAAUUACCUUAACAUGACCCAAAUAUUAUAUUACACAUACCAAAAAAGUCUUAUUUGGCGUAUUAAAAUCGAACUUUAAUGGGUAUAUUUCCAA